AGAGUUUGAUCAUGGCUCAGGAUGAACGCUAGCGGCAGGCCUAAUACAUGCAAGUCGUGGGGCAGCAGGGGUAGCAAUACCCGCUGGCGACCGGCAAACGGGUGCGGAACACGUACGCAACCUUCCUUCGAGUGGGGAAUAGCCCAGGGAAACUUGGAUUAAUACCCCGUAAUAUUAUUGAAUGGCAUCAUUUGAUAAUUAUAGCUCCGGCGCUUGAAGAUGGGCGUGCGACUGAUUAGGUAGUUGGCGGGGUAACGGCCCACCAAGCCUACGAUCAGUAACUGGUGUGAGAGCACGACCAGUCACACGGGCACUGAGACACGGGCCCGACUCCUACGGGAGGCAGCAGUAAGGAAUAUUGGUCAAUGGACGCAAGUCUGAACCAGCCAUGCCGCGUGGAGGAUGAAUGCCCUCUGGGUUGUAAACUCCUUUUAUCUGGGAAGAAAUCCAUACAUUCUUGUGUGGUUGACGGUACCAGAGGAAUAAGCACCGGCUAACUCCGUGCCAGCAGCCGCGGUAAUACGGAGGGUGCAAGCGUUAUCCGGAUUCACUGGGUUUAAAGGGUGCGUAGGUGGGUAGGUAAGUCAGUGGUGAAAUCCCCGAGCUUAACUUGGGAACUGCCGUUGAUACUAUCUAUCUUGAAUAUCGUGGAGGUAAGCGGAAUAUGUCAUGUAGCGGUGAAAUGCUUAGAUAUGACAUAGAACACCCAUUGCGAAGGCAGCUUACUACACGAUCAUUGACACUGAGGCACGAAAGCGUGGGGAGCAAACAGGAUUAGAUACCCUAGUAGUCC
rnacentral:rRNA from 1 species